rnacentral:tRNA from 1 species
CAGGAUAUAGCUAAGACAAAUAUAGCAGCUCUCUUACACUGAGCAGUCAUUCGUGCAAAUCGAAUUAUCCUGA